rnacentral:rRNA from 1 species
UACGGGGGGGGCAAGCGUUGUUCGGAAUUACUGGGCGUAAAGGGCUCGUAGGCGGCCAACUAAGUCGGACGUGAAAUCCCCAGGCUCAACCUGGGAACUGCGUCCGAUACUGGAUGGCUUGAAUUCGGGAGAGGGAUGCAGAAUUCCAGGUGUAGCGGUGAAAUGCGUAGAUAUCUGGAGGAAUACCGGUGGCGAAGGCGGCAUCCUGGACCGACAUUGACGCUGAUGAGCGAAAGUCAGGGGAGCAAACGGG